rnacentral:lncRNA from 1 species
ACUAAGAACAAUAGGUCCUGUUUUAAUCUUCUUUUCAAGCCAGUGCAAACUAGGUGAAAGGGUGAAUCCUUGGUCAUCUCUGACUGCUGGUGAGAAUGUAUGAUUUUACACCAAGCUCAGGAACAGUACCACAUCUUUCGGCAGCUGUCAGCUCACAUGCAAAAGGCUCAGAAAGCAGUGCCUGAAGGAAUAUAGACCUACAAGUAGUUGGUUUUCUGAACCUUAAGAAAGAGAAAAGGAUCAUUCAUGGGAAAAGGUGGAAGGUCUUGUUUACACAAACAGAUGAUAAAUGUGUAAAAAUAAAUGACCCUGAAUGGAACAUAAGAUCUACACAUUCUUUUUCUCGCAGAAAGAAUUUUAAAUGGUUUGUAUCUUACAGUUUAAGAAAGGGAGUACAUCUGUAGCACUCGAGUCUCUAAAAACAUCACAUGGGAAUGAUUAAUACACAGAAAUUGCCUGGAGAGGGAAGCUUAGGGACUUGGGAAGC